GACGAACGCUGGCGGCGUGCUUAACACAUGCAAGUCGAACGGAAAGGCCCUGCUUUUGUGGGGUGCUCGAGUGGCGAACGGGUGAGUAACACGUGAGUAACCUGCCCUUGACUUUGGGAUAACUUCAGGAAACUGGGGCUAAUACCGGAUAGGAGCUCCUGCUGCAUGGUGGGGGUUGGAAAGUUUCGGCGGUUGGGGAGGGACUCGCGGCUUAUCAGCUUGUUGGUGGGGUAGUGGCUUACCAAGGCUUUGACGGGUAGCCGGCCUGAGAGGGUGACCGGCCACAUUGGGAAGGAGAUACGGCCCAGACUCCUACGGGAGGCAGCAGUGGGGAAUAUUGCACAAUGGGCGGAAGCCUGAUGCAGCAACGCCGCGUGCGGGAUGACGGCCUUCGGGUUGUAAACCGCUUUCGCCUGUGACGAAGCGUGAGUGACGGUAAUGGGUAAAGAAGCACCGGCUAACUACGUG
rnacentral:rRNA from 1 species